GUUCCGUCUUAAUAUUGGCAUCUCCCAUUUUCUCACCGUUGAUCUGAUUGAAGGUUGUGGGAGUGAGAUGAAAUGAGGACAAAAUGAUUUCCAAAUUCACAUGAAAUGGAAAUGGCUUCCACUUCCUCAAAUUCUAUAUAUAUAUAU